AAUCAACGCUGGCGGCGUGCCUCAGACAUGCAAGUCGAACGAUUAAAGCUCUCUUCGGAGAGUGCAUAAAGUGGCGCACGGGUGAGUAACACGUAAGUAAUCUACCUUCGAGUGGGGAAUAACGUCCGGAACGGACGCUAAUACCGCAUAACGCAGCGGCAUCGCAAGAUGACAGUUGUUAAAGAUUUAUCGCUUGAAGAGGAGCUUGCGGCAGAUUAGCUUGUUGGUAAGGUAACGGCUUACCAAGGCUACGAUCUGUAUCCGGUCUAAGAGGACGGUCGGACACACUGACACUGAAUAACGGGUCAGACUCCUACGGGAGGCAGCAGUCGGGAAUUUUGGGCGAAUGGGGGGAAACCCGUACGACCCACGCAACGCCGCGUGAAGGAUGAAGUAUUUCGGUA
rnacentral:rRNA from 1 species